rnacentral:rRNA from 1 species
GGAUUAGGCAUGCAAGUCGCGCGUGAAAGUUCCUUCGGGAACGAGUAAAGCGGCGGACGGGUGAGGAAUACGUAAUCAAGCUGCCCCCGAGACGGGGAUAACCGCGGGAAACCGUGGCUAAUACCCGAUGUUCCGGGACUUCCGCAUGGUGGUUUCGGCAAACGGUGGGGACCCUUCGGGGCCUGCUGCUCGGGGAUGCGAUUACGGCCUAUCAGCUAGUUGGUGGGGUAAUGGCCCACCAAGGCUACGACGGGUAGCCGGCCUGAGAGGGUGGUCGGCCACACUGGGACUGAGACACUGCCCAGACUCCUACGGGAGGCUGCAGCCGAGAAUCUUCCGCAAUGGCGAAAGCCUGACGGAGCGACGCCGCGUGGAGGAUGAAGGCCUUCGGGUUGUAAACUCCUGUCACGGGUUAUGAAUGUGCAUCGGUGAACAGCCGGUGUAUUGACGUAAGCCCGGAAGGAAGCACCGGCUAACUCUGUGCCAGCAGCCGCGGUAAUACAGAGGGUGCGAACGUUGUUCGGAAUUACUGGGCAUAAAGCGCGCAUAGGCGGCGACGUAAGUGUAGGGUGAAAUCCCACGGCUCACCCGUGUAAAUUGCCCCGCAUACUGCGUUGCUAGAGUGUGGUAGGGGAGAGCGGAACUCCUGGUGGAGCGGUGAAAUGCGUAGAUAUCACGAGGAACACCGGUGGCGAAAGCGGCUCUCUGGUCCACAACUGACGCUGAAGUGCGAAAGCUAGGGUAGCGAACGGGAUUAGAUACCCCGGUAGUCCUAGCCGUAAACGAUGGGCACUAAGUAGAGGGGUU